CCUACGGGCUGCAGCAGUGAGGAAUAUUGGUCAAUGGGCUUACGCCUGAACCAGCCAAGUCGCGUGAGGGAAGACUGCCCUAUGGGUUGUAAACCUCUUUUGUCAGGGAGCAACGCCGGCUACGUGUAGCCGGACUGAGAGUACCUUAAGAAAAAGCAUCGGCUAACUCCGUGCCAGCAGCCGCGGUAAUACGGGGGAUGGGAGCGUUAUCCGGAUUUAUUGGGUUUAAAGGGUGCGUAGGCGGAAUGCCAAGUCAGCGGUAAAAUCGCGGGGCUCAACCUCGCUCCGCCGUUGAAACUGGCGUUCUGGAGUGGGCGAGAAGUAUGCGGAAUGCGUGGUGUAGCGGUGAAAUGCAUAGAUAUCACGCAGAACUCCGAUUGCGAAGGCAGCAUACCGGCGCCCAACUGACGCUGAAGCACGAAAGCGUGGGUAUCGAACAGGAUUAGAUACCCGUGUAGUC
rnacentral:rRNA from 1 species